UGGGGAAUAUUGGACAAUGGGCGCAAGCCUGAUCCAGCAAUGCCGCGUGUGUGAAGAAGGCCUUAGGGUUGUAAAGCACUUUCAGUGGGGAGAAAGUUACGGGUAUUAAUACCAUCUGUAAUUGAUGUUACCCACAGAAGAAGCACCGGCUAACUCUGUGCCAGCAGCCGCGGUAAUACAGAGGGUGCAAGCGUUAAUCGGAAUUACUGGGCGUAAAGCGUGUGUAGGUGGUUGCGUAAGUUAGAUGUGAAAUCCCCGGGCUCAACCUGGGAAUUGCGUUUAAAACUGCGUGGCUAGAGUAUUGUAGAGGAUAGUGGAAUUUCCAGUGUAGCGGUGAAAUGCGUAGAUAUUGGAAGGAACACCAGUGGCGAAGGCGACUAUCUGGGCAAAUACUGACACUGAGACACGAGAGCAUGGGGAGCAAACAG
rnacentral:rRNA from 1 species